rnacentral:pre_miRNA from 1 species
GUAAGAUUGGAUACUCUCACCAUAAAUUGUGUGUGAGGUAGACAAUGUUAUUU